rnacentral:rRNA from 1 species
CGUGGAUAAGACAUGCAAGUCGAACGGAAAAUAUUCGGUAGCAAUACUGGGUAUUUUUAGUGGCGAAAGGGUGCGUAACACGUGGGUAAUCUACCGUAAAGUUCGGAAUAACUUCGAGAAAUCAAAGCUAAUACCGAAUGUGAUCUGACAGGGACAUCCCUGUUCCAUUAAAGCUAGGGACCUUCGGGCCUGGCGCUUUACGAUGAGCCCGCGCCCUAUCAGCUUGUUGGUGAGGUAAAAGCUCACCAAGGCUAAGACGGGUAGCCGGUCUGAGAGGACGAUCGGCCACACUGGAACUGAGACACGGUCCAGACACCUACGGGUGGCAGCAGUCGAGAAUCAUUCACAAUGGGGGAAACCCUGAUGGUGCGACGCCGCGUGGGGGAUGAAGGUCUUCGGAUUGUAAACCCCUGUCAUUUGUGAACAAACCUUUUGGUUUAAUAGAUCAAAAGCUGAUAGUAGCAAAAGAGGAAGGGACGGCUAACUCCGUGCCAGCAGCCGCGGUAAUACGGAGGUCCCAAGCGUUGUUCGGAUUUACUGGGCGUAAAGGGUGCGUAGGUGGCCAGGAAAGUUUGAUGUGAAAGCUCCGAGCUCAACUCGGAAAAUGCAUUGAAUACUACUUGGCUUGAGGAUCGGAGGGGAGACUGGAAUUCUCGGUGUAGCAGUGAAAUGCGUAGAUAUCGAGAGGAACACCAGUGGCGAAGGCGAGUCUCUGGACGAUUCCUGACACUGAGGCACGAAAGCUAGGGGAGCAAACAGGAUUAGAUACCCUGGUAGUCCUAGCCGUAAACGGUGCACACUUGCUGUAGGAGGAUUCGACCCCUUCUGUGGCGGAGCAAACGCGUUAAGUGUGCCGCCUGGGGAGUACGGUCGCAAGAUUAAAACUCAAAGAAAUUGACGGGGGCCUGCACAAGCGGUGGAGUAUGUGGCUUAAUUCGAUGCAACGCGAAGAACCUUACCUGGCCUUGACAUGCAUCUCUAAGCGUGUGAAAGCACGUGACCCUUCGGGGAAUUUGCACAGGUGCUGCAUGGCUGUCGUCAGCUCGUGUCGUGAGAUGUUGGGUUAAGUC